rnacentral:rRNA from 1 species
GUCCACGCCCUAAACGAUGGAUGCUCGAUGUCGGCCCGCAAGGGUCGGUGUCUAAGCUAACGCAUUAAGCAUCCCACCUGGGAAGUACGAUCGCAAGGUUGAAACUCAAAGGAAUUGACGGGGGGCCCGCACAAGCAGUGGAGCAUGUGGUUUAAUUCGAUGCAACGCGAAGAACCUUACCUGGGUUUGAAAGGCAAGUGACAGGCGAUGAAAGUCGCUCUCUCCUCAAGGGGCACUUGUACAGGUGCUGCAUGGCUGUCGU